rnacentral:rRNA from 1 species
GAUAAACGCUGGCGGCGUGCCUAACACAUGCAAGUCGAACGCCCUUUUGCGCAAGUGAGAGGGAGUGGCGGACGGGUGAGUACCACGUGGGUACCUACCUUGAGGUGAGGAAUACCACCGAGAAAUCGGUGACAAGACCGCAUACGCUUGGCAACAAGCAAAGUCUCGCAAGAGACGCCACAAGAUGGGCCUGCGCCUGAUUAGCUAGUUGGUGAGGUAAUGGCNCAACCAAGGCGACGAUCAGUAGCUGGUCUGAGAGGAUGAUCAGCCACACUGGGAUUGAGAACGGCCCAGACUCCGUACGGGG